rnacentral:rRNA from 1 species
CCUACGGGCGGCAGCAGUCGAGAAUCUUUCACAAUGGGGGAAACCCUGAUGGUGCGACGCCGCGUGGGGGAAUGAAGGUCUUCGGAUUGUAAACCCCUGUCAUGUGGGAGCAAAUUAAAAAGAUAGUACCACAAGAGGAAGAGACGGCUAACUCUGUGCCAGCAGCCGCGGUAAUACAGAGGUCUCAAGCGUUGUUCGGAAUCACUGGGCGUAAAGCGUGCGUAGGCUGUUUCGUAAGUCGUGUGUGAAAGGCGCGGGCUCAACCCGCGGACGGCACAUGAUACUGCGAGACUAGAGUAAUGGAGGGGGAACCGGAAUUCUCGGUGUAGCAGUGAAAUGCGUAGAUAUCGGGAGGAACACUCGUGGCGAAGGCGGGUUACUGGACAUUAACUGACGCUGAGGCACGAAGGCGAGGGGAGCGAAAGGGAUUAGAUACCCUGGUAGUC